UUCUCCUUUUCCAUCUUGCAUCUGAUGUUUAUGAACUUCUGUGGAAGCUUAUUCUUCUUGCUGCCUCCUGGGGAGUUUCUAUUUUUCUCUUGUUCGUCUGGAGGACCGUCCUUGCUGUAAAGCCUCCAGUGUGUCAAGUUACUUUAAAGCAGAUGACUGAGCAGAGCAAGAAUUUGGAGAAUGAAAACAGAGAACUUGCAGAAAAUAUAUCUGCUUGGGUGCAGAAGACCAACAACACAAAGAAAUGCUUAGAGGAGGCCAUCAGGCAAAAGAAGCUGCCCUCUGAGAAAGCACUGAAGUUUAAGGUACGAACCUCUUGUUAGAUUACAUUCUGAAAAUAGAAAUGAAAGUAAUGAGUAAUUGUUACUAAUUCAAUGUUUCAUUGAAUGAGAGCUUGAAAGCCAUUGAGAAGGUGAAUGAAAAUUUGAAUGACAUCAUUCAGAUUGUUCGAGCUAAGCUGCAGGCAGUGAGGGACCAGAACGCCAAGAGCCCACACCUGGUAAGAGCUGCCACAUUGACCAUAGCCGGGCUUCUGAGGCUUUUUGUGCCCUGGGCAAGCUGCGUGCACCUGCUCCUCCUGCUUUUGACCACAGCAGAGUGUGAGAGCCCAGGAGCGGAAACUCCCUGUGAACAAUGACCCAGAAUUUCAUGGACUAAAACCUCUGUGACUUUUUCUAUUUCAGAGACUAGGAAAUAUGUAU